AUGAACGCUGGCGGCGUGCCUAAUCCAUGCCAGUCGAGCGAACGGACGAGAAGCUUGCUUUUCUGAUGUUAGCGGCGGACGGGUGAGUAACACGUGGAUAACCUACCUAUAAGACUGGGAUAACUUCGGGAAACCGGAGCUAAUACCGGAUAAUAUUUUGAACCGCAUGGUUCAAAAGUGAAAGACGGUCUUGCUGUCACUUAUAGAUGGAUCCGCGCUGCAUUAGCUAGUUGGUAAGGUAACGGCUUACCAAGGCAACGAUGCAUAGCCGACCUGAGAGGGUGAUCGGCCACACUGGAACUGAGACACGGUCCAGACUCCUACGGGAGGCAGCAGUAGGGAAUCUUCCGCAAUGGGCGAAAGCCUGACGGAGCAACGCCGCGUGAGUGAUGAAGGUCUUCGGAUCGUAAAACUCUGUUAUUAGGGAAGAACAUAUGUGUAAGUAACUGUGCACAUCUUGACGGUACCUAAUCAGAAAGCCACGGCUAACUACGUG
rnacentral:rRNA from 1 species